CCUAUAUUUAAUUGUUUGUUUUGGUUCCUUUAUAUAUCAGGGUUCAUCGUUUCAACGUUGAAAUGGAGUGUUGAUUAAUAUCACUUUUACACGGAUUCAAUGUGAAUUCAAUUAUUUGCUCAUUCAAGGAAAUAAAGAUAGGUAGUUCUUUUUAUGGUGCUUUUGCUUUAGAGCCUUGUUGUAGGAGACUGGUUUGUUCACUGCAAAGGCUCUCUUCUUGGCUUCUUUUGUUGAUUGGAUCUUUGAAUAAAGUUGAUGCCUUGAAAUUGAAAUAUGAGGCGCACAAGGCGAAUAUGGAUUUUCUUUUGUCUGGCUAGAACAAAAUGGAAGAGGCUGAUGCUGCAACGGAAGAUGAUGGUAUGACUAAGGAUGCCCUUUGACUUCUUGAUGAUUGCUGAUGGUUAUGAGGAUGAUUAAUGCUUGGCUAAGAAACAAGAGGGAGAGUAAGAUGAUGAUGGUGAUUGUCAAUGGAGACUUUGAGCAAGAUGGGGACUGAGAUGGUGAUGGUGGUGAUGUUGAUGAUGGAGUUGCAAAGAGGACCAGGGAAAGUGGGAAGUAUAUGAUGAAGAUGAGGAUUAGGACGGCAAUGAUGAUGAUGAUGAUGAUGGUGAUAGCAGCGAAAAUUGUGAUUAUCCAUUGUUGAGGCAUGCAAGGGGUGUCUGUAAGCCAGAGAUUCAGUUUGAAGAAGAUUGCAGAAAGAUGACUUAACGGUUAUAUUGAUGUUUGUGAUGAGCGAUCUGAUGUGAGACGGUUGAUUAAGUAUGACUGAAGUUCACUGCUUUCCUCGCUUGGAAUGGUAUGAAUGUCAGAAGUUACUGUGUCUUUCAUUUGGAGCAUGAGGUUACUGCAGUGCGCCAGGAGGUAUCUGGAAUUCUCUGCAGGCGUGCAUUACAAGCUCUUAAUUGCUUGUACAUAGAUUUGAUCCCAGAGAGAUACGCAUUAAAAUGAUUUACGAAAGAUGGAAAUAUUGGUACUGCAGAAGAGCCUUGCACUCUCAUGCGGAAUUACAAUCAUUUCCAGCCAGCCAUCUUUACCUAAUCAGAGUUGGUAAGUUUUUUUGUUAAAUGAUUAAGAUGGAUUAUGCUCAAAUUCAAUUAAGUUUUUCUUUGGUUUCUGAUAUUUGUCACCUUCAUUAAGACCUUAAAGAAACAAAUGAAAUGCAUGAUUUAGGUACUUGCAUCACAAUGCAUUUCUGAGAUAUUCAGUUCUUUUUACUAGGCAAAAGUGGUCUUGCACAGCUACUUCAGACUGCAUUCUAGCCAAAGUUUCAGAGAUAUUAUUUUCAUAAUUGAUGCUCCUUUUUAUAUGGAAGGAUAAUUCAUCACGGAUUCUACUAAAAUAGAUAUCUAAUCUAUAAUAGACUUUUUUCUCUUCUCACCUGUGAAUGAUUGCAAAGAAGAAUCAUUUAACAGUCAACAGAUCAAUGAACAACUAAAUUUAUUUCAACUGUCAAUUAUAUUAGACCUGUUCAAUUUUGGUAAUUAAAGAAAGGCUUGGAGGCAUAUUGGCCAGUAGCAGUGUCGCCAGAAUAAAUCGUCUUACUAAUAAAGACGUGAACAAGGAUUCCAAUGGCGCACCAUUAUUGAGGCAUGCAAGUGAAGUCCUUGCAACAGAAUUUUACCAUACUUCAAGCUGAAUAUGAAAGGUCAAGAUCUCUGGUUGUCGCCAUCAAUGAGGCUUUAUACCUUUAACGGCUCGUUAUUUACCAGGUUUGCACAUUUGGGCAAUAUUCUGGAUAACUUUAGUUUCUUUUGCACCAUUUGAUGGAAAGCGAAUUGGACAUGCAUGAAGUUUUGAGUUCACUGGAAUUUUGUGUAGCCAUACUUGGUCCAUCCUUCAUUAGUUGCAAAUAGGGAAAGUCCAUGACGAAUACCUACCUUUGAGAUUUUUGAACAUUUCUGGGCUCAGUACCAUGGAAAAUCAUCCCUCCAAAUUUCUGGAUUUACACUCUCUGUCUGUAAAUUACUAGUCAUCUGGACAAACUAAUCAAUGAAGCUGAUGAAGUUACCAUGGCAGAAGUUCUAAACAUAACUCUACGGCAUUGCUCAAUUGCAGAGGAGAGGCCGAAAGGAUGAAUGUUAAUGUUUCAGGGAUCUCUAGUGCUAGAGGCCAAGGACAAAAGAAAAGAGAUCAACAAUCGCAAAGCGAUGAAUGUUAAUAUUUAUGGCGUCUUGAUGGUCGAAUUGAAAAUCACAGUACUGCAGCAAAAGCUGGGAAGCAUCAAGCAAUAAUGUCUUCCUCAUAUUAGAGUUAACAGGAAAGCUUUAAAAAAGUCUAUAACAUCAUCAAAAGAUUUCUUAUUGUGAAAUUGACCGUGUAGCUUAAACCUCUUUGUGCCAAUCUUCAGCUUAUGGAACAUUUCAGAUUUAUGUAUGGCAUGAUCCCUACCUUUCUCAUCUCCAUAUAUUUCCUUGCUCAUCUUUCUCUUUUCAAGUCAUUGAUUCAUGUUAUCCUGAUUAAGUAGACAAUGGCAUAUAUGUGGCACUUGGAAGAAGUUGGUAUUGCCUUAUUGGCAUUAGAUUU